rnacentral:rRNA from 1 species
CCUACGGGAGGCAGCAGUAAGGGAAUAUUGGACAAUGGGGGCAACCCUGAUCCAGCCAUGCCGCGUGAAGGAUGAAGGCGCUAUGCGUUGUAAACUUCUUUUAAACGGGAGAAAACCCUCUUACGUGUAAGAGGCUGAUAGUACCGUUAGAAUAAGGAUCGGCUAACUCCGUGCCAGCAGCCGCGGUAAUACGGAGGAUCCAAGCGUUAUCCGGAUUCAUUGGGUUUAAAGGGUGCGUAGGCGGACUGAUAAGUCAGCGGUUGAAAUCCCACGGCUCAACUGUGGAACUGCCGUUGAUACUGUCAGUCUUGAGUACAGAUGAUGUGGGCGGAAUAUGACAUGUAGUGGUGAAAUACUUAGAUAUGUCAUAGAACACCGAUUGCGAAGGCAGCUCACAAAACUGUUACUGACGCUGAAGCACGAAAGCGUGGGGAUCAAACAGGAUUAGAUACCCUGGUAGUCCACGCCCUAAACGAUGAUUACUCGAUGUUGGCGAUACACCGUCCAGCGUCCAAGCGAAAGCGUUAAGUAAUCCACCUGGGGAGUACGGUCGCAAGGCUGAAACGUCAAAUGAAAUUGAGGCNGAGAGAGACGAGGACGACGACGAGGGAGAGG